CCUCUCCUUGUCUUUCUGUUUUAGAAAGUUUGGUAUUAAAGGCAACUUCUGCUGAGAUUCUAAAUGUUUUGACUUGUGGACACCAUACUGUGAGCAUGUGAGGGCCUGGGUAUCAUCUAAAAGGAAGCGGAGGCCCAGGUGGGGUAAAGGAUUGUGCCACAGGUCAAUGGAAUAAGCUGCUGAGAUCAGAACGUUGCUCCAGGGGUCUGCAGAAAUGGCUGAGUUGGUCAAGUGUUUGCCACGCAAGCAAGAGGACCUCAGGUCAAUGCCCAGAACCAUGUCUCAAAGCUGGGCAUGGGAGUGUGUGCCGGGGAAGCAGAGAAAGAGUGUCCCUGGAACUCUGACAACUAGCCUAAUCAGCAUGUUCCAGGCCACGUGAAAGACUGUCUCAAAAACCAGGGUGGACAGCAUCUAAGGAAUGAUGACUGAGGUUGACCUCUGGCCUCCACAUGUGCACGUACAUGUAUGUGCGCACACACUCAGCACACAUGUGGAACGCAAUCUGAGUAGCAAUGGUAGUCCUGAAGGGUUCUGUGGGUGCCAGGCCUUUGGUUAUUUUGUUCAGUCUCAGAUUCUUUUGCUUCCCUUGAAGGUAUCCAGUGGCCCUUGGCAGGAGUCUCAGAAUGAAAAGAAAACCUCUGUUCACACCCAGCACUUCAGAAUCCCUUGAGGAAUUUGACUUCAGUCUCUCCUGAAGGAUGUUAAAGCUGGUGCAUUAUUUUGGAGAUUCAACACCAGGGAGCCUAGAGAGCAGAACACGAUCUGCUCAGCCAACUCCUUUUAAUGCUUUGCCUAAAAAGGAGUUCUCACCCAGCCUUGCUGCAGAGGGAAAUGGCUGACUGCCCCAGAGGUUCCUGACACGGAGCUUUCGGGGGAAAUGGUGGCAUCAGCUUUACACUUCGGGAGCUUGAGGGUCCUGCCUGGCAGCAGCUGUCCAACACGAAGCUUCUUUCGCAAAAGCAGAUGUCAAAGGGAGAGCUGGAUUAUUCUGUAAACGGUCCUCUGGCUGGUGUGCUAUGAUGAGGCAGUCCUAACAAAUAUUUGCAUGGAGGAAGUAUGACAAUUUUCAUAGGUCUAUGACUGGAAAGACAUGGAAG